rnacentral:rRNA from 1 species
GAAAAGCUAAUACCGCGAAGCUACCAUCUGUUGGAUUACGACUGAACGCCUCUAAAUCGGAAUCUUCUCUGGCUAUGUAAUGUUGUCAUCAUUGCUGUUUGUAAAUGAGAAAUGUUAAGCUUGGGCAUUAAUUCAUACAAUACCUG